CUUCACCAGACCAUUUCGAGGCAAGCAUGGAGGCUUGGGGUCGCCGUUGAUGCCUGGGCUCGACAUCUUCCUCGCACGCUCUGCAGACAGGGGCCAGGAGCAGGGAAUGAGAGAGCAGAAGUGGAUGGCUCCCUUUGUCUCUUGCCCACUGUCAGUACCUUCUGAGGCAGAGGUGGAGGACUGAAGAAAGAGGGUUGGGGCAGUCUCUGGGCCCUCCCCUACAGGGUGCCAAUAUAGUUCUCUGAAGCGGCUCUAGUGCCCUGUCUGAGACUCAAACAUCAGCUUCCAAGACUCUCAACACCCACAGGAGGUUCUGUGGCUCAGCAGUUGCCCAAAGAAAGGACAGGUUUCUUCCCAGGGUGCCAGCAUGGUAAGCCCUAUAUACAUAUUGUCUCUUUAAUCCUCUGUCUAACCAGUGAGGACAAUACUGUAAUGACAACCCAUCAUACAGAAGGAGAAGCUGAGGCUAGUGAAUUGCUUGCCUGGGGUCAUGGCCACUUUAGUGGAUUGAAGCUGGCUGAGGAAUCACAUGGAUCAUCCUCCCCUGGGGUGGGACUGAGACCACCCUGGGAGUGCCCAUUGUCCCUCAUCCCACAGUCCCCCUUCCCAGGUCUCCCAGUCUGUUAGUAGUGGCAGAGAGCACUGGGCACAGACAGCCAUGGAGGGAAGGGAUGGGUGCCCACAGUGCCACCAUCCCAGUUCUUGUGCCCACUGCCAUCCCCAUCUCCACCACCUGGGAGUCUCACCCCUACGAGUUCUGGAGUCAUAAACCCUGAACUUGACCCAGGACCUGCCCUGGCUGUGUGGUCUUGGCAAACCACUUCCCUUCUCUAAGCCUCAGUUUCACCUGGAAGCCUGAGGAGGUGACAGUGUCUGCUCCUUCAGCUGCACACUGUGCAUGACUCACUGACAGGUAUUGGAAGAGAACAGGGGAGGGCACUUCUGAGAUGGCCAGACCUGGGAACUAUUAUCUUUGGUCUGUAGGUGACCUUGGGACUGAGUCUGGAGCCUACAUACAGGUCCUACCUUCCUACCCCAGUCUUUUGGGGUGGGCUGUGGAAUUUACAGACCCCCAGGAAGAGAAUGGCCCAUGUCUCCUUCUUUGCUGAGUCCCACUUCUGGAGCUACAGGGCUGAGAAAGCUAGCAGCUCACUUCCAUAAUCUGGCCAGACUUGAGGGGAAGAGGAUGGGAGCCCCUGGGAGAGAGGAAGGAAAACGGGAAGGAAUUCCCGGCUCUCCCCAGCACCACACCCCCACUGUCUUCUGAGCUCCAGACAGGACAAGUCUUGCCAGCAUUCCACAUCUGGGGAGGGGCUGCAGCCCAGGGCUGGGACACUUCUGUUGCCUGAGCAGUUCCCAGUUCACAGGGUAGGGAAGGGGGAUCAUCGUGGAAUAGCAAUGCCCCUGAAGGCAUUGCUAGUGGCCCCAGGAAGGCCAGGCCGUCCUUGUUACCAGAGCGAUUUCACCACCCAGGACGCGGGCCCACCGGCCUACGCCGUUCCCCUAGGCCUGCUCGGGCGGCACCAGCACCAUGGACAGCAGCCGCGCGCGCUCGGGGGUGGGCCGGCUCAACUGCGGACUGCUACAGGUCAGGGUGGGUGUGGGGACGCCCCACAAACCCAGCUCAGUAGGGAGGGGCCCCGGAGGCGGGAGGCGGGGAGUAGAGAAGCCACCCCCCCCUCCCCCGCCACCGCUGGGAUCCGGAGGAGGAGGCGAAGGCGGCGCCCGGGGAGAAAUAAUCCAAGAGUGGUGCUGAUUUAGGUUGAAAACGCUCCUAGCCAAGAGUGUGCACGUGGAGCACCCGCGUUGGGGGAUGCACGUGGAUGCCCUGGUCCUCUGCCGGGCCUUCUUCCUGCCUCCCACUGUGUCACCUCUGCCAGCGCCCACAGACCCAUCCCUGUCCUCCAGGCUUCAGGGUUGGGCUUUGAAAAACAAGUCAGCCUUUGAAAGCCAGCAAUAGGAGAGGUCCCGCAGAAGAAGGGGACAGGAUGGGAGCCCACCGCCCCUCAUCUAACACGCCCAUUUGUGGCCAGAAGGCACUGCUCACUUGCUGGUCACCCCCACCCACGCCCUUGGGCGAAGCAAUGUCCACACAGAGGCAGCCCUGCUGGUCCCCUGUCCUGCUGGGCUCCAGCUGCUCCUCACACUCCUAGCCUGACUAACCCAGCCUGAUUAUUUCCCAAGCCCAGGUCAGAAAUGGAAACAGCCACAUCUUGGCCCAGGCAUUGCUUAGGGAAAAAGCUGAGCUCAUAGGGGCAAGAGGUCCCUGAGGGGCUCAGACAGGCCCCUCCACCUGGCAUUGGGCACACCUGCCCAGCCAGGCUCCAAGGUGCUGGUUCUGCUGGCAAGCAGAGUCCAUCCCUUCCUUGGUACCUGUGACUGCCCUAGUUCCACCCAGUGGGGCUCAGAAGGACCUGAUUGAAGUUUCUUACUAGGAGUGGGCAGGGACAACUGUCAGGCUGCUUGGCACUACCUCUCCCUUUAGGGACAAGCACCUCAGGAACUAACACUGGGGAAAGAGGCUUUAAAAAAGAUGGCCAAGAGUGCACUGUUC